rnacentral:rRNA from 1 species
AAUCAACGCUGGCGGCGUGCCUCAGACAUGCAAGUCGAACGCGAAAGUUCCCUUCGGGGAGCGAGUAGAGUGGCGCACGGGUGAGUAACACGUAGGUAAUUUGCCUUUGGGUGGGGAAUAACUCAGGGAAACUUGAGCUAAUACCGCAUAAUGCAGCGGCUCGACAUCGAGACAGUUGUUAAAGCGGGGGAUUGGAGCAAUCCGACCUCGCGCCUAAAGAGAAGCCUGCGGCAGAUUAGCUAGUUGGUAGGGUAAUGGCUUACCAAGGCGACGAUCUGUAACCGGCCUGAGAGGGCGGUCGGUCACACUGACACUGACAUACGGGUCAGACUCCUACGGGAGGCAGCAGUCGGGAAUUUUGGGCAAUGGGCGCAAGCCUGACCCAGCAACGCCGCGUGAAGGAUGAAAUUUUCGGAAUGUAAACUUCGCAAGAACAGGAAGAAUAAGUAGGGACAAGACCCCUAUGAUGACGGUACUGUUUGUAAGCUCCGGCUAACUCCGUGCCAGC